rnacentral:rRNA from 1 species
GAAGGUGGCCUGUGAGGGUUGCUGGAGGUAUCAGAAGUGCGAAUGCUGACAUAAGUAACGAUAAAGCGGGUGAAAAGCCCGCUCGCCGGAAGACCAAGGGUUCCUGUCCAACGUUAAUCGGGGCAGGGUGAGUCGACCCCUAAGGCGAGGCCGAAAGGCGUAGUCGAUGGGAAACGGGUUAAUAUUCCCGUACUUGGUGUUACUGCGAAGGGGGGACGGAGAAGGCUAUGUUGGCCGGGCGACGGUUGUCCCGGUUUAAGCGUGUAGGCUGGUUUUCCAGGCAAAUCCGGAAAAUCAAGGCUGAGGCGUGACGACGAGGCACUACGGUGCUGAAGCAACAAAUGCCCUGCUUCCAGGAAAAGCCUCUAAGCAUCAGGUAACAUCAAAUCGUACCCCAAACCGACACAGGUGGUCAGGUAGAGAAUACCAAGGCGCUUGAGAGAACUCGGGUGAAGGAACUAGGCAAAAUGGUGCCGUAACUUCGGGAGAAGGCACGCUGACACGUAGGUGAAGUGAUUUACUCAUGGAGCUGAAGUCAGUCGAAGAUACCAGCUGGCUGCAACUGUUUAUUAAAAACACAGCACUGUGCAAACACGAAAGUGGACGUAUACGGUGUGACGCCUGCCCGGUGCCGGAAGGUUAAUUGAUGGGGUCAGCGCAAGCGAAGCUCCUGAUCGAAGCCCCGGUAAACGGCGGCCGUAACUAUAACGGUCCUAAGGUAGCGAAAUUCCUUGUCGGGUAAGUUCCGACCUGCACGAAUGGCGUAAUGAUGGCCAGGCUGUCUCCACCCGAGACUCAGUGAAAUUGAACUCGCUGUGAAGAUGCAGUGUACCCGCGGCAAGACGGAAAGACCCCGUGAACCUUUACUAUAGCUUGACACUGAACAUUGAGCCUUGAUGUGUAGGAUAGGUGGGAGGCUUUGAAGUGUGGACGCCAGUCUGCAUGGAGCCGACCUUGAAAUACCACCCUUUAAUGUUUGAUGUUCUAACGUGGACCCGUAAUCCGGGUUGCGGACAGUGUCUGGUGGGUAGUUUGACUGGGGCGGUCUCCUCCUAAAGAGUAACGGAGGAGCACGAAGGUUGGCUAAUCCUGGUCGGACAUCAGGAGGUUAGUGCAAUGGCAUAAGCCAGCUUGACUGCGAGCGUGACGGCGCGAGCAGGUGCGAAAGCAGGUCAUAGUGAUCCGGUGGUUCUGAAUGGAAGGGCCAUCGCUCAACGGAUAAAAGGUACUCCGGGGAUAACAGGCUGAUACCGCCCAAGAGUUCAUAUCGACGGCGGUGUUUGGCACCUCGAUGUCGGCUCAUCACAUCCUGGGGCUGAAGUAGGUCCCAAGGGUAUGGCUGUUCGCCAUUUAAAGUGGUACGCGAGCUGGGUUUAGAACGUCGUGAGACAGUUCGGUCCCUAUCUGCCGUGGGCGCUGGAGAACUGAGGGGGGCUGCUCCUAGUACGAGAGGACCGGAGUGGACGCAUCACUGGUGUUCGGGUUGUCAUGCCAAUGGCACUGCCCGGUAGCUAAAUGCGGAAGAGAUAAGUGCUGAAAGCAUCUAAGCACGAAACUUGCCCCGAGAUGAGUUCUCCCUGAGACUU